rnacentral:lncRNA from 1 species
GUCACUACAUGCUUCAACCAGAGGAUAUGUCGUGGGCAGAACUGCACUAACCUGUGUUCAAAAGUCAUCGACCUGGGCACCUCCCAAAAAUGUUCAACCCAGUCAACGUGGUCAGAGGGGUUCUGUCUACAGCCGGCACAAUGAGUUCCUGGAGGUAACUGUCUUUAGAAAUGAGGAAUACAUAUAGAAAUACAGCUUCAUACGACAGUUUGGCACUGUCUGAUAUCUAGUGUCUGCUAUUAAAUUAGUUGACAUGAUGAUAUUGUUUGGGUUUAUAGUAAACAUUUUAUAGUUGCUACUGUCAAAAGGAGAACAGUUGGAUAAAAGGUAUUCCUUUUAGAAGUUAAGGCCUCCUACUCUGAACCCAUUGGGUGAUAUAUUCUAAAAUGUCUGUAUUGGAAGCAUGGCUGCCCUUCCUGGUUUAGUUAACAUUCAUUCAGGACACUAAAAUUCAUGUGUGAAUUUUUUCUUUUAGGUGGCAAAGACAUUGAAAAACAACGAAAGCCUCAAAGCCUGUGUUCGCUGUAAUUUCCCUGCAAAAUAUGACCAUUAUUUAGAGCGAGCAGUCUGCAAACGGGAAAGUUGUAAAUUCGAAUAUUGUACAAAGUGUCUGUGUGCUUACCAUAACAACAAAGACUGUUUGAAUAGCAAGAACCUAAAAGCCAGCUGCAAAAUGGGUCCUUUGCCUGGAACUAAAAAGAGUAAAAAGAACUUACAAAGAUUGUGACCUUUUAGUCGAUCAACUGUACAUCGUAAGGGCUACUUUAAAAGAAAAAAAAGAAAAGAAAUCCGAUUUUAACUUAAAGUAAAUGUAAUGUUGAUCCCUUUUGUGAAUGGAGGACAUACAGCCUCUUAAAAUAAUCACAGCUUAAUGCUAAAAAAAUUAAAUGUCCAUAAAACACCAAGAUUGACUUAUGCAAAAUUUAUUUUAUCUAUUUGUAGUUACAUGCUAAGACAAAAUUGAUUGGACUUUUUGGCAAGUGAAGUCUGGAUUUUUUAUGGAGUCUUGAAAACAGAUGUGCUUCAGUGUUAGCCUCUGAGACACGUUUUACCAAAUUUGUAUUAUGUGCCUAUCAACUUGAGUCUGUCAAUUUAAAUGUUUGUCAGUAUGAGCUUUUCAGUGUUAAGUAUCCUUUGUAGAGUCCUGUUUAUUUCUGAAGUCUAUUUUAAUGUUUUUAUGUCUGUAAAUAUCUUAUUAUGUACCAAAGAAAAAAAUAAACAUAAUUUUGUUACGAUA